rnacentral:rRNA from 1 species
GCGCAGCCUGAUGCAGCGACGCCGCGUGCGGGAUGACGGCCUUCGGGUUGUAAACCGCUUUUGAUCGGGAGCAAGCCUUCGGGUGAGUGUACCUUUCGAAUAAGCACCGGCUAACUACGUGCCAGCAGCCGCGGUAAUACGUAGGGUGCAAGCGUUAUCCGGAAUUAUUGGGCGUAAAGGGCUCGUAGGCGGUUCGUCGCGUCCGGUGUGAAAGUCCAUCGCUUAACGGUGGAUCUGCGCCGGGUACGGGCGGGCUGGAGUGCGGUAGGGGAGACUGGAAUUCCCGGUGUAACGGUGGAAUGUGUAGAUAUCGGGAAGAACACCAAUGGCGAAGGCAGGUCUCUGGGCCGUUACUGACGCUGAGGAGCGAAAGCGUGGGGAGCGAACAGGAUUAGAUACC